AAGAGAACAGAUGCUGAAAGCAGGAUGUCUUAUUAUUACGUAGACGCAAAUUCAAGUGCAGAACCAGACAGCCAAGCAAUAUAUGAGAGUAUAUAAUGGGGAGCAGGGACAUCUCACACAAAAGCACGAUCGAUAAAACUUAUUGGUAGACUUGAAAGAUAUAUGUCCGCAGUUAUGACUCGUAUCGCCUUGCCAUAUUAGCGACAGUUAUAAACCUUCUGCAGUUUCAGAAAAUAUAACAGCAUCAUCUGCAAAUAAUAACAAAUAUAUGGAAAUUUGAUCUAAUGUAAUACAUGCUGUUUGAUCAUGCUGUAAGGACAUUUCAACAUCAUUCAUAAAUAAAGAAACGAGCAAUCAUAGAAAAGUUAUUUCCCCUUGUAAUAGUCCAAUAUCACAGUUGAAAAAAUCUGAAAGAUUAUUCAUAUUCAUUGAUCAAGUUGCAUUUUUGUAAGUGAAAUAUUAAACACUUCUCUUCUAUUUUUUAUACAUUUGUUUAAAUAAACUCCUUUUUCAAUCUUAAGGAAAUUGAAAUAUAUUUUCAAAUGCUUGCCGGCUCUUAAUCUAGAUGUUAUAAAAGUCUUCUUUUCGGAAUAACUGAUUUCCAAAGUGUCACUAAAGCCGGUGUUUUUGGCUUUAAAGAUAUUUUACAUUUUCAUAAUCUCUCAGGUACUUUUUGUUUUCAUUGCUUCCUUUUCAACUUUCAUUUACGUAUUUUAUUAUCUUUAUCACUUGUAUAUUAAUAUCUGGUGUCAAUAUAUAAUUUGUGUUGAGUUUUUAUUGUGAUUCUUUACGGAUAUCGUAAUAAUUAGAAAUCUUAAUAGUAUUUAAUUUAAAAAGAUGUUUUAUGUAUUUUGAGAUUUGACAAGCGAGCUUUAGUGGGAUAUAAAGUUUUUUUUAUGAAUUCUUGUACUUCGAGAACACUUUCGUAAAAUGUUAACAAAGUAACACAUUUAAUUUAAAAAUAGACGCGGUAUGAAUACAUCUGCAGAUGCUAUUCAAAUUGAAAUUGUCACCAAUGUCAUAAAAAUGUUUAUAAUUUCCGUAGCCAGUUCUCAGCUGGCGUGGAAAUUAAAUUGUAUUUACUGCAAUUAACACUACUAACUAUGAACCGACUCCAUAGCUAAAGCGAAUCGCGACUACAAUAGUUUUAUUUCAUCUUGGCGAGUUUGCCAUUUUGUGCGUUCUUUAAAAAGGGGUAGUUUUUUUUUCUUUUUUUUUUUAAACUUUGAUAUGUAAUAACUGAUUGAUACUGUUUAAAUUUAUAUAGAUAUAUAUGAUUAUCUAUUUUAAAGAUAUUACAAAAACAUUCACAAUUUCUUUUUUUAUUUUAUUUUUUAACAAGGCAAAAAUGUAAAGCUUAAGGCAUUUCCAUACUAUAUGGAAGUUUUGUGCGUUUUAAUUUUAUGUUCACUAGCUGCUGAAAACAUUGAUCAAAUUUUACAUUUUCGCUUGCAUCAAACUUAAAGUAAAAAUGCAGUGAUACAUGCUAGACAAUAAAUACUUUAUUGUUAAGAAAAACCAUAGAAAAGAAAACAUAUUAAGUGCAUACUCGUAUUUGUUCAAAGUUCAUUUUAAUAGUAAAUGUAUAUUUUUCAAUUAUUCAUAAUUGGUUUAAACAAUAUUUAUUUCUUCAUCAAUAUCUACAGACAAAAUUACAAUAUAUAAAUUGCUUUCAGGAUUGAUUCAAUGAUUCAUUUGUGUAACAAUAAGUGCUUGUUUUUUUUAAAUACAUAUAAUAGUUAUAACAAAAUGUGCAUAUUUUAGAAGUUGCAUUGAAAUUUUUGUAUGUUUGUACAAUAUUUUAUUAAAAUAAAUACCACUUCAAUAAUUCUGAUACUACACUACUGGUCUUGUGUUCUGAAUAUAUGUCUUAACCGGCACUGUCCUGCAAGACGAGACACGUAUAUGUUUGUACACUGCUGAGGAGCAGACAUUGCGUCACCUUAAGUGCAACAACGUAAUAAGUCCUUAUAAA